rnacentral:rRNA from 1 species
AAUAUUGCGCAAUGGAGGAAACUCUGACGCAGCGACGCCGCGUGAGCGAUGAAGGUCUUCGGAUCGUAAAGCUCUGUCCUUGGGGAAGAAGAUCGAAAGAUUUGACGGUACCCGAGGAGGAAGCCCCGGCUAACUACGUGCCAGCAGCCGCGGUAAUACGAAGGGGGCAAGCGUUGUCCGGAAUUAUUGGGCGUAAAGCGCGCGCAGGCGGUUUCUUAAGUCUGAUGUGAAAGCCCCCGGCUCAACCGGGGAAGGUCAUUGGAAACUGGGGAACUUGAGUGCAGAAGAGGAAAGUGGAAUUCCAAGUGUAGCGGUGAAAUGCGUAGAGAUUUGGAGGAACACCAGUGGCGAAGGCGACUUUCUGGUCUGUAACUGACGCUGAGGCGCGAAAGCGUGGGGAGCAAACA